GAUGAACGCUGGCGGCGUGCCUAACACAUGCAAGUCGAGCGAACAGACGAGGCUCUUGCUCCUCUGACGUUAGCGGAGGACGGGUGAGUAACACGUGGAUACCCUCCCUAUAAGUCUGGGAUAACUUCGGGAAACCGGAUCUAAUCCCGUAUAAUCUCUUGCACCGCAUUGUUCAAUAGUGAAAUACGGUUUUUGUGUCUCUUAUCGCUGGAUACCGGCCGCAUUAGCUAGUUGUUAAGGUAACGGCUUACCAAGGCAACGAUGCGUGUACGACCUGAGAGGGGGAUCGCCCACCCUGGAGCUGGAACGCGGUCCAUACUACUGAGGGACGGCCCAGUAGGGUAUGUGCCGCAAUGGGCGGAAGCCUGACGGAGCAACGCGGCGUGAGUGAUGAAGGCCUUCCGAGCGGAAAGCUCUGUUAUGAGGGAAGAACAAAUGUGUAAGUAACUAUGCACGUAGUGACGGUACCGAAUCAAAAAGCCACGGCUAACUACGUG
rnacentral:rRNA from 1 species